UCUGUAAGCCUGUGAAGGUGUACUGUGAGGUAUGCUGGAGGUAUCAGAAGUGCGAAUGCUGACAUAAGUAACGAUAAAGCGGGUGAAAAGCCCGCUCGCCGGAAGACCAAGGGUUCCUGUCCAACGUUAAUCGGGGCAGGGUGAGUCGACUCCUAAGGCGAGGCCGAAAGGCGUAGUCGAUGGGAAACAGGUUAAUAUUCCUGUACUUGGUGUUACUGCGAAGGGGGGACGGAGAAGGCUAUGUUGGCCGGGCGACGGUUGUCCCGGUUUAAGCGUGUAGGCUGGUUUUCCAGGCAAAUCCGGAAAACUAAGGCUGAGGCGUGAUGACGAGGCACUACGGUGCUGAAGCAACAAAUGCCCUGCUUCCAGGAAAAGCCUCUAAGCAUCAGGUAACAUCAAAUCGUACCCCAAACCGACACAGGUGGUCAGGUAGAGAAUACCAAGGCGCUUGAGAGAACUCGGGUGAAGGAACUAGGCAAAAUGGUGCCGUAACUUCGGGAGAAGGCACGCUGAUAUGUAGGUGAAGUCCCUCGCGGAUGGAGCUGAAAUCAGUCGAAGAUACCAGCUGGCUGCAACUGUUUAUUAAAAACACAGCACUGUGCAAACACGAAAGUGGACGUAUACGGUGUGACGCCUGCCC
rnacentral:rRNA from 1 species